AUUCAAAUUUAAUGGUAUAUAGCCGUAUUACUUAGAUGGCAAUUGUGUAAUGAAUGAGAUCAUAAUCUUCCUUAAGACGGCGUUACCCAACCUACCAGUCUCCCUAAAGAUCAUAAUCUUCCUUAAGACGAUCACUUAUCCUAUAUAGUACAUGUUGAUUUGACCUUUUCUUGUAAGCUAUAAUAUAUUGUAAAACACAUUUUGUAUAAAGAAAAUUAAGAUUGAGCAAGGAAAAUAAUCUCUCUCUCUCAACUCUAGUUUUCCUACUUAAAGAGUUAGUUCCAAACCAAAAUGUCAUGACAAAUAAUCAGCUAACAAAUAUAGGAAAAAAGAAAGAAAGAGAAAGCAGAACAUGCAGGGAGCAUGCAUCUCCGAGAGUCAGCCAUGGUAUCUCCAUUUCGUAUGCUUCAUAGGCUUUCUCUUUCUCCUUAGAGUACUAUUCAUUCCUCUCCUAAAAUGGUUCACCACAAGAUUCCUCCUCACACCCAAGCGGCUCAAGCGGUACGGCUCAUGGGCUAUGGUCACUGGAGCCACCGAGGGGAUCGGACGCGCCUUUGCUCACGAGCUGGCCAAACACGGCCUUAACCUCAUCCUAGUCAGCAGAAACCUUUCGAAGCUCGAAUCUGUCUCUGAUGAUUUCCAACAAGAGUUUCCCCACAUCAAGAUCAAGAUCAUUCCAUUUGACUUCUCCUCUGGUAACAAUAAUAAAUACACUUUCUUACUUUAGGUCAAUCCUAUAGAACUAGUCU
rnacentral:sRNA from 1 species